GAUGAACGCUAGCGGCAGGCCUAACACAUGCAAGUCGAGGGAGAGGUUAUCUUCGGGUAACCAAAACCGGCGCACGGGUGCGUAACGCGUAUACAAUCUGCCUUUCACAUAGGGAUAGCCCGAAGAAAUUUGGAUUAAUACCUAAUGGUAUAUAAGAGCGGCAUCGUUUUUAUAUUAAAGCUACGGUGGUGAAAGAUGAGUAUGCGUUCUAUUAGCUAGUUGGAGAGGUAACGGCUCCCCAAGGCGACGAUAGAUAGGGGUUCUGAGAGGGAUGUCCCCCACACUGGUACUGAGAUACGGACCAGACUCCUACGGGAGGCAGCAGUGAGGAAUAUUGGACAAUGGUCGGAAGACUGAUCCAGCCAUGCCGCGUGCAGGAUGAAGGUCCUAUGGAUUGUAAACUGCUUUUGUAAGGGAAGAAUAAGGAGUACG
rnacentral:rRNA from 1 species